CAAGCAUUCCUAUAUAUCAGUAACAGACUAACAGAGAGCCAAAUCAUGAAUGAACUCCCAUUCACAAUUGCUACAAGGAGAAUUAAAUACCUACGAAUACAACUUCCAAGGGAUGUGAAGUACGUCUUCAAGGAGAACUACAAACCACUGCUCAAGGAAAUAAGAGAGGACACAAACAGAUG